CAUACAAUGUGCAAAGUAUUAUAUUGAGGGUUAGAAUACAAAUAUAAAAAUAAAGCAAUUCUUGCUUUCUUGUAACUCACAUUCUAAUGGGAGAAACAACACAUAGAGGAACAGCCCAACAGCAAGUUAGAUGGAAAGCUCCCAUGAUCCUUAGGGUGCAAUGGCAAAGCAGUCACCACAUUUCAAGACUCUAUUGGCAAGCUAAAGGGCAACCUUCUAGAACGAAGAUGACCAGGAUGGUGGGGGGACAAGAGUCCAUACCAUACAGGAAUCAAUUGAAGAAACUAUGAAUGCUUAGCCUGGAGAUGAAAAGACAAGUGAGGGCCAUGAUGCUGUCUUUAAGAUUCUCAACAACAAAGAAAGAAAAAAAGAAACAAAAAAGGAGACGGACUUUAUUCAAUAUCUUUGAGACUUCUUAUUUGGUAUUUUUAUGCCUAUAGCCUGAUUUGGCACAUAUGAAGUAACAAUGAUGUACCAAGACACAACAUUCAAUGACAGGACUCCUCGAAGA